rnacentral:rRNA from 1 species
CACCUUGACGGUACCUAACCAGAAAGCCACGGCUAACUACGUGCCAGCAGCCGCGGUAAUACGUAGGUGGCAAGCGUUGUCCGGAAUUAUUGGGCGUAAAGCGCGCGCAGGCGGUUUCUUAAGUCUGAUGUGAAAGCCCCCGGCUCAACCGGGGAGGGUCAUUGGAAACUGGGAAACUUGAGUGCAGAAGAGGAGAGUGGAAUUCCACGUGUAGCGGUGAAAUGCGUAGAGAUGUGGAGGAACACCAGUGGCGAANGGCAGACUCUCUGGUC